GGGCGCUGGUCGGUGCGCGGGCUGGGACGCUAAGUCAUGAGGAAUUAAACUGGGAAACCUGGCGUGGGUCCAGGCGCCUUCCAGGAGGCAUCCGGCGCGGCCCGGACGUGCUUCUACCCAGAACCACCCCCUCCAGGCCGGGGUGCACUUAACGGGGCUAUACAAAGAGUCUGACACUGUUAUUGCCCAUCUGAACUCGUCAACUGAGAAGGAAUGAGAUGGUUUAUGCUGUGAAUAAAAUACAGUUGUGCUGUGAUGUAAAUCCCCUCAUCCUGGAGCAGCUGAGCAAGGUCUAAGGCAGGAAGAACCUUCAAGCAGGUCAUGGCUGUAAGCCUCCUGAGUUUAUCCCAGCAAGUUGUAUAAGGGAUUAUCUUUUUAUCUGCAUAUUAUGACAUAUGUGAGGAUGUGUAAAGGUUUGGCAAGCACUGGCCUACUCAACAGCCAGUCCUACCUAACUGCAGAAAUCUUUCUUGUGGGCAAAUGUCAGGAGAUAGGGCCCAGGCCCAGGUCCAGCUACAAAGAAUGAAUACAAUUAAAGUGCUACUUCCAUUCACCUCACCCCAGAUUAGUUUAGGCAAGAG
rnacentral:lncRNA from 1 species